GGAGGUACAGCUCAGCGGUAGAGUGCAUGCUUAGCAUACAUGAGGUCCUGGGUUCAAUCCCCAGUAUUUCCA
rnacentral:tRNA from 1 species